UGGGGAAGACGUGAAGUACUCUGGAAAGCCCCGCCCCCCUCAGGCUCAGUUCAAACCACCGUCUCAAACCCACUAGGAGUUUCACAUCGCCAACUUGUCUCAUCGGAAGACCGCAAUUUGUCCAUUCCAUGUUAUGAUCUGGUGAUGAUGCCAUCAUGUUGAUUAAAACAAAGAUCAAUAGUGAACAGAAGUAUGUCAAGAUCACUGAACCCAGCCUUGAUGCAUUUUUGAGUUCUG